GGGCCGGUAGUUCAGUGGUAGUAACGCCCGCCUUGCACGCGGGAGGUCAGGGGUUCAAAUCCCCUCCGGUCCACCA
rnacentral:tRNA from 1 species